ACAGCAGGACGGUGGUCAUGGAAGUCGAAAUCCGCUAAGGAGUGUGUAACAAUUCACCUGCCGAAUGAACUAGCCCUGAAAAUGGAUGGCGCUAAAGCGUGCGACUUAUACUCAGCCAUCAGCGCGAGACGUAUGUGCUGAUGAGUAGGAGGGCGUGAUGCUCGUAUCGAAGCCUUGGGCGUGAGCCUGGGUGAAACGUGCAUUAGUGCAGAUCUUGGUGGUAGUAGCAACUAUUCAAAUGAGAACUUUGAAGACUGAAGCGGAGAAAGGUUCCAUGUGAACAGCAAUUGGACAUGGGUUAGUCGAUCCUAAGGCUCAGAGUAACUCCGUUAUAAGGCGGGCUUUUUUCGGAAAGCCCCGGUGGCCGAAAGGGAAGAAGGUUAAAAUUCCUUCACCUGGACGUGGAUAACGAGUGGUAACACAAGCAAAACUGGAGACGUCGGCUGGAGUCCCGGGAAGAGUUCUCUUUUCUUGUUAACAGUUCCGCAGGCCCUGGAAUCGGAUUAUCCGGCGAUAGGGUCUGGUGGCUGGGAAAGCAGCUUAAUCUUUGAGCUGUCCGGUGCUCUCCAGACGGCCCUUGAAAAUCCGGUGGCGUGACUUAUUUACACCCCAGGUCGUACUCAUAACCGCAUCAGGUCUCCAAGGUGAGUAGCCUCUAGUCGAUAGAGUAAUGUGGAUAAGGGAAGUCGGCAAAAUAGAUCCGUAACCUCGGGAAAAGGAUUGGCUCUGAGGAUUGGGCUUGGGAGUCCUUUGGAAGACCUUGUUGUGGCUGGGUGAGACUGCGGCUCACGCUGCGGACUUGCCCGGUAGCUCUGGCGAUUCCUUAGGAAUGUACUUGUACGUUUCCCAAUGCGUUGAACAAUCGCCUCAGAACUGGAACGGACAAGGGGAAUCCGACUGUUUAAUUAAAACAAAGCAUUGCGAAGGCCGGAGACGGUGUUGACGCAAUGUGAUUUCUG
rnacentral:rRNA from 1 species